rnacentral:lncRNA from 1 species
CCCACGCAUGCUUAAACUCCUUUACGGUGUUAACCUCUACCACUUCAGCUGGGAGGCUAUUCCAUGCAUCCACUACCCUCUCAGUAAAGUAAUACUUCCUGAUAUUAUUUUUAAUCCUUUGUCCUUCUAAUUUAAGACUAUGUCCGCUUGUUGUGGUAGUUUUUCUUCUUUUAAAUAUAGUCUCCUCCUUUACUGUGUUGAUU